rnacentral:rRNA from 1 species
GGGAGGUAGUGACAAUAAAUAACAAUACAGGGUUCUUUUGGAUCUUGUAAUUGGAAUGAGUACAAUUUAAAUCUCUUAACGAGGAACAAUUGGAGGGCAAGUCUGGUGCCAGCAGCCGCGGUAAUUCCAGCUCCAAUAGCGUAUAUUAAAGUUGUUGCAGUUAAAAAGCUCGUAGUUGAAUUUCGGGAUCAAUAUUUCGGUCAUGCCGUUGGUAUGCACUGUUAUCAUUGAUUUCUCACCUUCUAAAGAACCGUAAUGCCAUUAAUUUGGUGUUACGGGGAAUUAGGACUGUUACCUUGAAAAAUUAGAGUGUUUAAAGCAGGCUCACGCUUGAAUACAUUAGCAUGGAAUAAUGAAAUAGGACAUCCGAUUCUAUUUUGUUGGUUUCUAGGAUCGAUGUAAUGAUUAAUAGGGAUAGUUGGG